GGCCCGUUGGUCAAGCGGUUAAGACACCGCCCUUUCACGGCGGUAACCCGGGUUCGAAUCCCGUACGGGUCA
rnacentral:tRNA from 1 species